rnacentral:rRNA from 1 species
GACGAACGCUGGCGGCGUGCUUAACACAUGCAAGUCGAACGGAAAGGCCCUGCUUUUGUGGGGUGCUCGAGUGGCGAACGGGUGAGUAACACGUGAGUAACCUGCCCUUGACUUUGGGAUAACUUCAGGAAACUGGGGCUAAUACCGGAUAGGAGCUCCUGCUGCAUGGUGGGGGUUGGAAAGUUUCGGCGGUUGGGGAUGGACUCGCGGCUUAUCAGCUUGUUGGUGGGGUAGUGGCUUACCAAGGCUUUGACGGGUAGCCGGCCUGAGAGGGUGACCGGCCACAUUGGGACUAAGAUACGGCCCAGACUCCUACGGGAGGCAGCAGUGGGGAAUAUUGCACAAUGGGCGGAAGCCUGAUGCAGCAACGCCGCGUGCGGGAUGACGGCCUUCGGGUUGUAAACCGCUUUCGCCUGUGACGAAGCGUGAGUGACGGUAAUGGGUAAAGAAGCACCGGCUAACUACGUG